CUGGGAUUAGAUACCCCACUAUGCUUAGCCCUAAACCUUAAAGAUUUAAUAACAAAAUCAUUUGCCUGAGAACUACUGGCCAUCGCUUAAAACUCAAAGGACUUGGCGGUACUUUAUAUCCGUCUAGAGGAGCCUGUUCUAUAAUCGAUAAACCCCGUUAUACCUCACCACCCCUUGCUAAUUCAGCCUAUAUACCGCCAUCUUCAGCAAACCUUAAAAAGGAGUAAAAGUAAGCAAGAGAAUCACCAUAAAAACGUUAGGUCAAGGUGUAGCUUAUGAGGUGGGAAGCAAUGGGCUACAUUUUCUUAAAAAAGAACAUUACGAUACCCUUAUUGAAACAUAAGGACAAAGGAGGAUUUAGUAGUAAAUUAAGAAUAGAGAGC
rnacentral:rRNA from 1 species